rnacentral:pre_miRNA from 1 species
AUGUAUAAGAGGUGAGACUGUUGGCUUUAAUCCUACCAAUAACUUCAGCUGCAUCAUGAAGAGUAGACAGAGAUUCUGGCGGUUGAGGGUUUCUUCGUAGAGGUUGAUCGAUUCUUAAUGUCCUGUGGAUUUUAAGUUCCCAAAACUGUUGCUUAGGACAUACAAGAUCGUUCAAUGUCCAAGAAGAAACCUGAGCCGCUACAAUCAUCGGUCUAAUCUCUUUAGCAGAUGAAGUUAUUUGUGGUAUAAAACCCACAGUUUUAUCAUGCAU